rnacentral:lncRNA from 1 species
AGGUGGUGCGGCCGCUGCGGACCUUCCUGCACACCGUGCAGCGGAACCAGAUGCUCAUGGCGCCCGGCUCCGCCCCCCGCCGCGCCGGCAUGACAUCCUUCAUCAAGCGCAACACCCCGCUGCGCGUGGACCCCAAGUGCAGCUUCGUUGUGAGUAGAGCCCUCCCUCCCUGCACUUGCUGUGGCCCUAGGAGCACUAGCGUCUCGGCCAGGAGCUUGUGGGGUGUGGGCACCACUGAGGCACCCAAGGGUGUGACUGGCUGCCCACCAGGCCACGGGCCCCGGGUUCUCUCCCAGCUCAGCAGCUGUCCCUAGUCUCGGCUCCUGGGGCUCGUGAGUCUCAGCAGGGCCAGGCAGACAGGCGUGGGGGCUAAGUGGGCAGUGCCACCGGUUCCCUGUGCCUUCCUCACGUGUGUGCAUGCGGUCACCUGACAGAUGGCACCAGUCUGGCUGCCCCAGUAACACACAGCGUGGGCACUUUGGGAACUAAAGUGGAAACUCUGUUCAUCCACUGUCUACUGUCUGUCGCCUCUGGUGCCCUCCCUCCGCCACCAAAGGACUUCUGCUCCAGGUGGAGGGUUCUCUAGUUUCCUUCACCUGAGAGUGCUGCCUCCUCCUUUCUUCUGGAGGAAAACUGCCAGGUGAAGUUUCUCUUUCGGCACAGUGCAGUUUCCUGCUGGGGAGACGUCUUCAUCCAUUCUGAGUGUCGUCCCCUGUACAGAAGGCAGCCUUCAUUCUGGCUGCUGCUGGCGUUUCCCCCCUUUGUGUUGCGUUUUCAGUGUCGAUUUCUUGGGACUCCCCUCCGGUUGUGUCUGUCCCUGAAUUUGGCAUUCUCAGCCAUCUUGUCCUCGACUAUCUAAGCAUCUUCUUCCUCUCCUUUCGAGGCGCCAGUGGAAGAGCAGAGACCUUUUGGUGUUGUCGCCCUGAUCCCAGAGGCGCUGAUAACUUGAUGUCUUGAUAGCAGCCAUUCUUUGUGGGAUGAGGUGGAAUCUCAAUGUUUUCAUCUGCAUCUCUUGAAUGACCAGUGAUGCUGAACAUUUUUUCAUAUGUUUAUUUGCUGCUUUUACUUCUUUGUCUGAGAAUUGUCUGUUCAUUUCAGAUGCCCAUUUUUGAAUUGGGUCUUUGAAUUUGGGGGAUCUGAUUUUUUUGAGUUCUUCAUAUAUUCUAGAUAGUAGACCUUUGUCUGAGGUACAGCUGCUAAAGAUUUUUUCCCAGAUUGUAGGUUGUCUCUUAGCUCUGUUGGUGGUUUCUCUUGCAGUGCAGAAGCUUUUUAAUAAGAUGAGAUCCCAGCUGUUGAUUCUUCCUUAGCAGUUUCUUCUCCGUGCUGAGCUCACUCAUUGAUCUUCGUGGUGACUACGUUCAUGGUCUUUUCCAUUGUGCUCCUGUGCCUAUCCGUUGAGUCGUAACAUUUGUUUUUUCUAAGGUUCCUGUCUGGUUCUCUAUGUCUGUUCCUUUGCUGAGAGUUCCCCGUGUUUCCAAGUGUCUCUGGCAUAUACGUGAGGACUCAUUGGAGCUUUUCCAUAAUAGCUGCUCUGAAGUCCCAGAUAAUUCUAGCAACAGCCGCCCUCACUCUGUUGAUUGUCUUCCCUUGCAAGUUGGGGUUUUCGGUUCUUUGGAGACUCAGUGAUUGGGGACUCCUGCAUGAUGCCGCUACAGCAGCUGUGCUGAGACUGGCCUGGCGUUGUCUAGCUGAGGGUCGGUGUGCUCCCCAUCCACUUGGCGAGGCUGCAGGUUCCCCUGCUGUCUGUGGCCCCAGGGUCGGUCCCUUGGCAGGGCAUGAGGCUCUGUCCCUGUGGGUGCCACCAGCGGCCAGGUGGGCCUGAAGGCGGCCUGUGGAACUCGUGCGGAACCCUGGCAGGCUCUUGUGACCACCCCAGGGCUUUCCGUUCCCUGGGGCUCCUCUUUCUCUGGCCUCCCACUGGGGAGAUGGGGGUGUUAGUUACCUGGCUCUGUCCUGUGCUUUGCUGCGCAUGUCCAAGCUCCUGACCAGAGGAAAGGAGCAGGAGAGGAGAGCAGAGAGGAGCAGCAUGCAGCUGUUCUGGAGGAUUGUCGAGCGCGCCCGUCUCCUUGGCUGGGGAGGGCUUGGGGCCUGGCCGCCUGUCGCUGCUGCUGCCGCUUGGGCCGUGCUCUGCAGAGGGCCGGGCAGCUCCACUGUGCCACACACACGUUGCCUUGCGUUUAUUGUGGCCGUGUCACAGGCAGUGUGGAAAACAAGGAAAGACCACAGUCCUUCAUCUGUCUCCCAGCCUGUAUACCCUUCUUCAGCAUCCGGGUGUUUUCUUUCUUUCAACUGUUGCGAAACAGCUGAGGCACAUGGAGGAGCAGGCGACACGGGCAGGCAGCAUGCGGGUGGUGAAGCACAAUUGUGUGGGCAGCACAGCUGCAGCCCCGCCCCUCAGCCCCACUGCACUGCUCACUGCUCUUGGCGCACUGCUGAUGCGGCCACACUGUCUUAGCUGGUUUGGGCCUGCUUUGGUUGGCAGCUUGAGCCUCUGGCCCUGGGCUGUGCAUCCUGCCGGGAGCCAACCCUCGGGUUUGGGUGCGUCCCUGCCCUGAGCGUGGAGCUCGAGUACCUGCCACUGGCCUGGAGGUCAGGGUUUGUCCCCCGCCCCCCAUCCCAGGAGAAGGAGAGGCAGCGCCUGGAGAGCCUGCGGCGGAAGGAGGAGGCUGAGCAGCUGCGCAGACAGAAGGUGGAGGAGGAGGAGGCGGAGGCGGCGCGAGGAGGAGAAGCUGAAGCGGGAGGAGGCGCCACCGCAAGGUGCUGCAGGCGCGGGAGCGGGUGGAGCAGCUGAAGGAGGAGAAGAAGAAGCAGAUGGAGCAGAGACUGGGCGCAGCUGGAGGAGAAGACAGAGAAGGCCAAGGAGGAGCGGCAGGCAGAGGAGAAGGCCAAGCAAAAGGCCGAGGCACGCAGGAGGCAGGAGGCGGAGGCACGCAGGAGGCAGGAGGAGGAGGCGCGUGGGCUCCGGAGGCUGCGGCAGGAGGAGGAAGAGCGACGCCACCAGGAGCUGCUGCAGAAGAGGAAGGAGGGAGGAGCAGGAGCGGCCCGCAAGGCAGCUGAGGCUCGGCGCCUGGCGGGCAGCAGGAGCAGGAGCGGCGGCGGGAGCAGGAGCGGCUCCAGGCUGACAGGGAGCUGCAGGAGCGGGAGAAGGCCCUGCAGCUGCACCGGAACUGGAGAAGAGGUAGGGCUUCGCCUGGCUGGGAGCAGGGAGCCGAGGAACCGCUGGCCAGCCCGCCUUGCCCUCGGGGUGGGGCCAAGGGGAGGGCUCACAGUGCCCAUUGCCACCUGAGGCCCAGGAGGAGCAGCAGCGCGCCUGGCUGAGCAGCGGCUACAGGAGGAGCAGGAGCAGAAAGCCAGGGGAGGCAGCAGCAGCUAGCAAAGCCCUGAAUGUGACGGUGGAGUCCCCAGCCUGUACCUCCUAUCAGAUGACCCCUCAAGGGCACAGGCGCCCCCCCCAAGAUCAACCCCGACAACUACUGUAACUACGGGAUGGACCUGAACAGCGAUGACUCCACCGAUGAUGAGGCCCAGCCCCGCAAGCCCAUCCCGGCCUGGGCCCGAGGCACCCAGCUCAGCCAGGCCAUUGUCCACCAGUACUACCACCCCCGAGCCUCGCCGGGCGCUCGGGACCAUCGCCCCCCUGGACCUGGAGGACAUCUUCAAGAAAAGCAAGCCCCGCUACCACAAGCGCACCAGCUCGGCUGUCUGGAACUCACCGCCCCUGCAGGGCAUCCGGCUCCCUGGCAGCCUGGCCUGCAGCCUGAAGAAGUACUGAGGCCUCGGGCCUGCUGAGGCUCAGUGCCAUCCGAGGCUGUCCUUGCCCAUGCCGUGCUGCAGGCAGGAGGUGGCCGCAGCCACUUGGAGGGGCGGUGCCAUGGGUGGCGGGGAAGGGCAGGUGUGCCCCAGCCGGCCUCAGGCAGCACUCUGUAAAUAGGUGUUACAGUCAGUCCAGCUGAAUUUUAGCGUCUAGUGUUUGAGGUAGAUGAAUAAAGUGUAUUCCUUUGAGCCUGCUGUGGGUAUCGUGCAGGUGUGUGGCGGCUUGGGGUCCCGAUCCUGGCC